rnacentral:rRNA from 1 species
AUGAACGCUGGCGGCGUGCCUAAUCCCUGCAAGUCGAGCGAACGGACGAGAAGCUUGCUUCUCUGAUGUUAGCGGCGGACGGGUGAGUAACACGUGGAUAACCUACCUAUAAGACUGGGAUAACUUCGGGAAACCGGAGCUAAUACCGGAUGAUAUUUUGAACCGCAUGGUUCAAAAGUGAAAGACGGUCUUGCUGUCACUUAUAGAUGGAUCCGCGCUGCCUUAGCUAGUUGGUAAGGUAACGGCUUACCAAGGCAACGAUGCAUAGCCGACCUGAGAGGGUGAUCGGCCACACGGGAACUGAGACACGGUCCAGACUCCUACGGGAGGCAGCAGUAGGGAAUAUUCCGCAAUGGGCGAAAGCCUGACGGAGCAAAGCCGCGUGAGUGAUGAAGGUCUUCGGAUCGUAAAACUCUGUUAUUAGGGAAGAACAUAUGUGUAAGUAACUGUGCACAUCUUGACGGUACCUAAUCAGAAAGCCACGGCUAACUACGUG